UAGGGAAUCUUCGGCAAUGGGGGGAACCCUGACCGAGCAAGGCCGCGUGAGUGAAGAAGGUUUUCGGAUCGUAAAGCUCUGUUGUUAAGGAAGAACGAGUGUGAGAAUGGAAAGUUCAUGCUGUGACGGUACUUAAGCAGAAAGGGACGGAUAACUACGUGCCAGCAGCCGCGGUAAUACGUAGGUCCCGAGCGUUGUCCGGAUUUAUUGGGCGUAAAGCGAGCGCAGGCGGUUAGAAAAGUCUGAAGUGAAAGGCAGUGGCUCAACCAUUGUAGGCUUUGGAAACUGUUUAACUUGAGUGCAGAAGGGGAGAGUGGAAUUCCAUGUGUAGCGUUGAAAUGCGUAGAUAUAUGGAGGAACACCGGUGGCGAAAGCGGCUCUCUGGUCUGUAACUGACGCUGAGGCUCGAAAGCGUGGGGAGCGAACAGG
rnacentral:rRNA from 1 species